CAUUCUGACAGUUUACGUUAGAUCAAUUUAUACGAAAUGAAUAUCUUGGCAAGUUUGAUACUUUUAGGACUAUCAGCUUUGUCACGGGAAAGCUGAGUAUACUGAAAAACAACUAGAGAUAUUGUCUGAUAUUGCUAAAAAAUGUGCUUUGGAAUUGGCUAUGGAAUUGAAUAGUGAUGUAAUAGAUACGUUUAAUUACAGUGGAAAUCUUACUGAUGAUGAGGAUUCGAAGAGAUAUGUGGCAUGUGCCCUAACAACGAUGGGUGCCAUAGACACUGAGGGUAAGAAUCAGGGUCGAAAGUUUAUCGACGAUUUUUCAGAAGGCCACGACAUUGAGGUUUUGACAAAGAUCGUUCAAAAAUGCUCCAUGGUUGACGGAGACACCAUCGAAGAUAGAGGAUACAACUUCUACAAGUGCUUCUGGACUGAAAAUUUAUUUGGAAAAUAAUGAAGAGACGAAAUUAAAUAUUCGAGAUUUGAAACAAAGAUGCCGGGAGUGUUUUCGAGAAAAAAUAAAACCGGAGUAAAAUUAAAAGAACAGAAAUAUUUUUUUUGUUUUUUGUUUUAGUGAUUAUCAAUUACAAUUUGAAAAAAAACGCAUCAUCAAUUUAUCAUGCAAAAUUUGUAUUUGAAAUAAGAUAGUAAAAACAAGAUUUUGUUCUAAUUCCAUUGUGGCCUUUCAGCCUUUCUCAUACAGAAAGACUACACAAUCACUGUGAAAACCGACCAUUGAACCGAGACCCGGAGGGCCAAAUAUACUAUUCGACUCAGCUCGACGAACUGAGUAAAUGUC